rnacentral:rRNA from 1 species
GACGAACCGUGCGAACGUUGUUCGGAAUCACUGGGCUUAAAGGGCGCGUAGGCGGGCAAGCAAGUCGAAGGUGAAAUCCCACGGCUCAACCGUGGAAGUGCCCCCGAUACUGCUUGUCUUGAGGGAGAUAGGGCGUGCGGAACUUCCGGUGGAGCGGUGAAAUGCGUAGAUAUCGGAAGGAACACCGGUGGCGAAAGCGGCGCGCUGGAUCUCUUCUGACGCUGAGGCGCGAAAGCCAGGGGAGCGAAUGGG